GUGAGGAAUAUUGGUCAAUGGACGAAAGUCUGAACCAGCCAAGUAGCGUGCAGGACGACGGCCCUCUGGGUUGUAAACUGCUUUUAGUUGGGAAUAAAAAGAGGGACGUGUCCCUUAUUGUAUGUACCAUCAGAAAAAGGACCGGCUAAUUCCGUGCCAGCAGCCGCGGUAAUACGGAAGGUCCAGGCGUUAUCCGGAUUUAUUGGGUUUAAAGGGAGCGCAGGCGGCGGCGUAAGUCAGUUGUGAAAUCGUGCGGCUUAACCGUGCAAUUGCAGUUGAUACUGCGUCGCUUGAGUGCACACAGGGAUGUUGGAAUUCAUGGUGUAGCGGUGAAAUGCUUAGAUAUCAUGAAGAACUCCGAUCGCGAAGGCAUAUGUCCGGAGUGCAACUGACGCUGAGGCUCGAAAGUGUGGGUAUCAAACAGGAUUAGAAACCCUAGUAGUCC
rnacentral:rRNA from 1 species